AGUGAACGCUGGCGGUAGGCCUAACACAUGCAAGUCGAACGGCAGCACAGGAGAGCUUGCUCUCUGGGUGGCGAGUGGCGGACGGGUGAGGAAUACAUCGGAAUCUACUCUGUCGUGGGGGAUAACGUAGGGAAACUUACGCUAAUACCGCAUACGACCUACGGGUGAAAGCAGGGGACCUUCGGGCCUUGCGCGAUUGAAUGAGCCGAUGUCGGAUUAGCUAGUUGGCGGGGUAAAGGCCCACCAAGGCGACGAUCCGUAGCUGGUCUGAGAGGGUGUUCAGCCACACUGGAGCAGAGACACAGACCAGACUCCUACGGGAGGCAGCAGUGGGGAAUGAUGGACAAUGGGCGCAAGCCUGAUCCAGCCAUACCGCGUGGGUGAAGAAGGCCUUCGGGUUGUAAAGCCCUUUUGUUGGGAAAGAAAUCCAGCUGGCUAAUACCCGGUUGGGAUGACGGUACCCAAAGAAUAAGCACCGGCUAACUUCGUGCCAGCCGCCGCGGUAA
rnacentral:rRNA from 1 species